CCUACGGGCGGCAGCAGUGAGGAAUAUUGGUCAAUGGGCGCGAGCCUGAACCAGCCAAGUCGCGUGAGGGAAGACGGUCCUAUGGAUUGUAAACCUCUUUUGUCGGGGAGCAAAAGACGCCACGCGUGGCGUUCCGAGAGUACCCGAAGAAAAAGCAUCGGCUAACUCCGUGCCAGCAGCCGCGGUAAUACGGAGGAUGCGAGCGUUAUCCGGAUUUAUUGGGUUUAAAGGGUGCGAAGGCGGAUGAUAAAGGCAGUGUGAAAAUUGAGAGGCUCAACCUCUUCGUGCCGUUGAAACUGGUUUUCUUGAGUAAGGGUGAAGUAUGCGGAAUGCGUGGUGUAGCGGUGAAAUGCAUAGAUAUCACGAAGAACUCCGAUUGCGAAGGCAGCAUACCGGCGCUCAACUGACGCUCAUGCACGAAAGUGUGGGUAUCGAACAGGAUUAGAUACCCGGGUAGUC
rnacentral:rRNA from 1 species